rnacentral:misc_RNA from 1 species
CUGACGCUCAUCACGCCGCUACAGUGCUGCUGAUUGAGCCACUCCGAGCUGGAGACCGUGCCGCUCGUGUUGUUCGGCGACGGCCGCCGUUGUUGGAAGCCGCCGCCGCUUCCUGCGUGGUCGUCGCGAGCCUCGUCCUCCACGAGACGAUGGGCCGCGAUGGCGUCGUCCCCGUGAUGACGGUCGACGCGCUCAUCUCCUACCUUGAGUCCCUGCAGCUUGGUCACUCCUUCGCUGCAGCUCCGCUGAUGCUGGACCUGCCGUCCGACGACCCAAGCACAAGCGGCUGCGGCGGCGGCGGCGUCGUCUCGACGACGAUCCACCGCCGGCGCCGGUUGCUGCUGCUGCUCCCGUCCGCCUGGAGACUGUGGCGUCCUGCUGCACGUGCACAGACAGACCAAC